GUUUAUUUAUAAUGUUAUUAGUGGGUAUAGCACUGAAUAUCUAAUAUAGAUUAGAAAGGAGUAUGUAAAUACUUACUUUGGAUAUUUAAUCUCAGAAUAGCUAAUAAGUUAAGUAAAUUAUCAGACUUUUUGCGAUAAGGUGGAAAGUCGAGAGGGAAACAGCCCAGAAUAAUAAAUAAGGUUCCUCAAUUGUUAUUAAGUGAAAUUAAGG
rnacentral:rRNA from 1 species